GAUGGAAGUGUCUCCUGCUGAUUUGCAGAUCGGGCACCAGAGACAGAGGAAGCAUUAUCAUCCAGAUGGACUGGGGAGAAGAAUAGCAAAAAACCUGUUCUGAUCUCAGGACUACGCAACACCUUACCAUGAUUCUUUGUUGUGCAAGAAAACUAUAGGAAGCAGCCUGGGGAACUUCCUCACUGGCAGGGAAGGGGAAGUUCCUCUUUCCUGGCAGGAGUCAAGUGAUCAGGGUCUCUGUCCUCUUCUUCCUACACACUCCUGUGGAGGAGCAGCCAGCAUUCAUCACCUGGAUUCCACUGAAGAAGCUCAGGGUGAGAGCACAAGUCCUGAGCAUCAGAAGACAAUAGCCCACGAUCCAGAGGAACCCUCUGUAGCAUAUCUGAUGGCAGUGCCAGGGUGUGCCCAGAGUCCCACGAAGACAAUGGUGCUGCAAGUGCCUGAACAGAAUUGCCUAAGAUUUGUCCAGCUUGUGUUGGUGCCUCCCGGUUCAAAUGAGAACACCAUGCUUGGGGAGGUCCAUGCUGGGCAGCAGUAAUAGAAUAACCUUGGCCCUGUGGAUUCCAACACACAGGACUCAGAAGCCCCUGGAUAUAAGAUCCUCACAGUGAUGGCGAUUACCAAAGAAUCAGAGAAGAAACAGCAGACUUUCGAGAAGGUUCAUGGACAAUGAGCAUGUCAACCCAGCUGCCUGUCUACAGGCAUACCUGUGAUCUGAGGAGACAGUAGUCCUGGAGGCAGAGGAAGGAACCCAGACAGAACCUGACAUGUUGCAUGUUUCCAAGAGAUAUAUGUGAUCAAUUUAGAGGCAGCAACAGAACUGAGGAGUCUCAAGUGUACAUUUGCCAGUCCAGAAUUAAAUACAAAGUGGACAGAAAUAGCUCAGUCCUACAGAUCUGCACCAGGCCACCACAGUAUCCUGACUACUGCACAUUCACAAUGAGAGCUCAAAAGAGCUUUGCACAUCUAGAGUUCUAGUCUCUGUGUAAGUUGCAUUCACACUUGAGUCAUUUGAUGGUUACUUUUUAAUCUUGUUGGAAAUAAAAUUACACACAUAGAAAAA